CCGCCCCACCACGUGACCUGCUGCUGCCGCGGGACAACAGCGUCAUUUAGUGGCAGAAGAGCGAACCUUUUACAGCAUAUCACUCAAUUUUCUUCGGCUUUAGUCCUUACUUUAUCAUGAGUGAAGAGCGAAUAGAUUAAAGGCAUAAGUCACCCAAAAUGAAAGUUCUGUAGACAUGUAUUCACUCUUUACUUGUUUCAAAACUAACUAGUUUUCUUUUUUUAAAUAAAAACCGACAUUUUUAAGAAAGCUGGGAAUCUGUAACCUUUGAAAGAGAUGUGUGCACAAUUUCCAAGACAAAAUCCUGCCCCAACCAGGCAAUGAAUCUUCUGCCCGCUGAAUAAAACGAGAAAUGAAGGUAAGGAGCAGGUUGCCCUCUCAAGUGUCACCUUUGAGGACAGAAACACUGAAGAUCAAGAUUCUUUAAUAGAUUGUUCUUUGAGUCAUGAACUUCAGAAAAUUGAGCAGAACGUCCAGCUCCAAUUCCAUUUCCAGCAAGACAUCCAGCUCCAGCAGCCCGUCCAGCUUCAAUUCCAGCAGCCUGCCCUUGAUGAUCAGCAGGAUCAACAUCUGGCUCAAGACUUCAACAGUGACAUUUUGGGCUGCUAUAAAAUUGUACAAAAGCUUGGUAAGGGAGGACACGGCACAGUCUUCAAAGCGAUUUGCUUGAUGGACGGUCUUGAGGAACUACAUUUUUACUCACUACAUCUUAGCUAAAUGUUUCUCUCACUGCCUGUUCAGGUCCUUUUAUUGUGUCACGUUACAUUGA
rnacentral:lncRNA from 1 species